UGGGGAAUAUUGCACAAUGGGGGAAACCCUGAUGCAGCGACGCCGCCUGAACGAAGAAGGUAUUCGUAUCGUAAAGUUCUGUCCUAUGGGAAGAUAAUGACAGUACCAUAGAAGAAAGCUCCGGCUAAAUACGUGCCAGCAGCCGCGGUAAUACGUAUGGAGCGAGCGUUGUCCGGAAUUAUUGGGCGUAAAGGGUACGCAGGCGGUUUAAUAAGUCGAAUGUUAAAGAUCGGGGCUCAACCCCGCAAAGCAUUGGAAACUGAUAAACUUGAGUAGUGGAGAGGAAAGUGGAAUUCCUAGUGUAGUGGUGAAAUACGUAGAUAUUAGCAGGAAUACCAGUAGCGAAGGCGACUUUCUGGACACAAACUGACGCUGAGGUACGAAAGCGUGGGGAGCAAACAGG
rnacentral:rRNA from 1 species